AUUGAACGCUGGCGGCAUGCCUUACACAUGCAAGUCGAACGGUAACGCGGGGCAACCUGGCGACGAGUGGCGAACGGGUGAGUAAUGCAUCGGAACGUGCCUGGUAGUGGGGGAUAACUGCUCGAAAGAGCAGCUAAUACCGCAUACGACCUGAGGGUGAAAGGGGGGGAUCGCAAGACCUCUCGCUAUCAGAGCGGCCGAUGUCGGAUUAGCUAGUUGGUGGGGUAAAGGCCCACCAAGGCGACGAUCCGUAGCUGGUCUGAGAGGACGACCAGCCACACUGGGACUGAGACACGGCCCAGACUCCUACGGGAGGCAGCAGUGGGGAAUUUUGGACAAUGGACGCAAGUCUGAUCCAGCCAUGCCGCGUGCGGGAAGAAGGCCUUCGGGUUGUAAACCGCUUUUGUCAGGGAAGAAAUCUUCUGGGUUAAUACCUCGGGAGGAUAACGGUACCUGAAGAAUAAGCACCGGCUAACUACGUGCCAGCCGCCGCAGUAA
rnacentral:rRNA from 1 species